rnacentral:rRNA from 1 species
CCACAAUGGGGCGUACAAAGGGCUUCAACAUAGUGAUAUGAAGCUNAUCCCCNNGAACNCCUCUCAGUUCAGAUUGGAGUCUGCAACUCGACUCCAUGAAGCUGGAGUCGCUAGUAAUCGUAUAUCANCAAUGAUACGGUGAAUACGUUCCCGGACCUUGCACACACCGCCCGUCAAGCCAUGGAAGCCGGGUGUACCUAAAGUCGGUAACCGUAAGGAGCCGCCUAGGGUAAAACUGGUGACUGGGGCUAACUCUUAACAAGGUAUCC